rnacentral:rRNA from 1 species
UUYGCCUGUUUAUCAAAAACAUGUCUAUAUGAAAAUAUAUAAAGUCUAACCUGCCCACUGAUAUCUAAUUAAAGGGCCGCGGUAUUUUGACUGUGCGAAGGUAGCAUAAUAAUUUGUCUUUUAAUUGAAGACUGGAAUGAAUGGUUGGACGAGAAAUAAACUGUCUCUUUAAAAAAAUUUGAAUUUUACUUUUAAGUGAAAAGGCUUAAAUAAAUUUAAGGGACGAUAAGACCCUAUAAAUCUUUAUAUUUAAUUUUUUUUACUUUAAUUUAUAUAUUUAAUAAAUAAAAAUUAUAAAAAUAUUUUAUUGGGGCAAUAAAAAUAUAAUUUUUAACUGUUUUAUAAAACUAACAAUAAAUAUUUGAUCAUUUUUAAAAGAUCCUUAAUAAAGAUUACAAGAUUAAGUUACUUUAGGGAUAACAGCGUAAUUUUUUUUAAGAGUCCAUAUCGAAAAAAAAGUUUACGACCUCGAUGUUGAAUUAAAAUUCCCUUAUGGUGCAGAAGUUAUAAAGGAAAGUCUGUUCGACUUUUAAUAUUUUACAUGAUUUGAGUUCAGACCGGCGUAAGCCAGGUUGGGUUCUAUCUA